rnacentral:lncRNA from 1 species
UUAGAGACUAAUUGCUCCUCUACGUAACAUGGUCAUUUCAUAAGAUACGUAGCAUCUUGUCUCUAGAUCUAAGGACAAAAGACUUCCUUGAUAUUUACUCUAGAUCUGUAUACUUCUUGUAAAGAUUCAAUAUCUUUUUUUAGCAUAAAAUCUUCAAUCUUAAUGGUGAAUACCUCACAAAUUUAACUGUUAUUGUUAUUUUGUUGAUAGAGUUACGUCCUUCCUGUGCAUACUUUACAACUAGGUUAACUAUGUGUGCAUGGCACCUCACAUCUUUGAUACAAUUCCCUUCCAAUCUUUACACACUCCCUUCAACUAGUCAAUUAAAUUGUUAUUAGAGGUAGCAUUUCAGUGGUGAUUGUGAAUAUCC